rnacentral:lncRNA from 1 species
UUGCAAAAUGGCGAGGGGGGAGCAUACCUUUAUGACUUUCAAAGUUAAGACAAACAUUGAAACGGUUUCCAUUUUGAAAUUUGCUGACCUGAACAGAAGUGGAGUAAAUGGGUGACACCAAGCUCGAUCAGAAACUAUGCCACUGGUGAAGAGGUAUAUUGAGCCCUGCGUGGCCCAGUGAGGUUACUAGAGAAUUGGAAGAGUCUCAAAUCAGCAUCCUGCACAUGGUUAUCAAACCAUUGUGAAGUCUUAGUAAGUGGUCAGUGGCUCUGGUGGGCUUGCCCAGUUAGUGUCUUAACAGGCACUAGGCAGUUACUUGAUAUUUUCCCAUUAUGAUAUGAAAAGUUUUUUGUUUUUUGUUUUUUUAGGGCUGUACCCGUGGCAUAUGGAGGUUCCCAGGCUAGGGUUCAAAUUGGAGCUGUAGCUAUAUGCAGGCCUACACCACCCACAGCUAUAGCAACUUGGGAUCCGAGCUGCGUCUGCAACCUACGCCACAGCUCACGAGAGUGCUGGAUCCUUAACCCACUGAGUGAGGCCAGGGAUUGAACCUGUGUCCUCAUGGAUACUAGUUGUGUUCUUAACCCACUGAGCCACAAUGGGAACUCCAAAAAACAGUCUUUAUUUCAGACUAGAGAGUGAUGAGCCUAAUCUCUCUCUUUCCCCGUCUCCCAUUUUUGCAGAUGAUAUCUUGCCCACCAUAAUAGUUGGUGUAGAAAAUGGAUUUGAAUCCAAGCCCAAUAUUGUUUCUUCCACCUAGUGCUUCCUCUAGAUUCCACCUAAGUCCAAGGAGGCGAUGUGAGACAGAAACAUUUUUAUUCCACAUGGAAAGAUUAUAAUAGCCUCUGACAUUGUGCUCCUCUGAUGAAGGAAAUGUCCAUGGUAUAAAUUUUUAUUGUGCAUAAAAUCACCUGGGAAGCUUGUUAAAAAUGCAGAUUCCUAGGCAGCUAGAAGCCUUGUCAUUGGUCCAGAGCAACAUGAAGACCUACUUGUCACUUACACUGAGGCUUCCUGCCCAGUGGGUUCACCAGCAAGCCAGAAGGAAGCAUCACUGCCAUGGAUGUCCUUGUGAGGCAGUUGUGAAGCCUUGGUAAGUUGUUGGUUUUAGUGGGAUUCCCAGUUCAUGGUAGAGAAGAAGUGGUUGUGAUAUGGCACUCCCACUACCCCCCCACCCCUGCUUCCUUCAAAAAAAAGUAUUAGGUGCUUACCAAGUGCCAAAGACUUCUAGAUAUUAACAAAGUUCUGCCAUCGUGAGACUUUUCACUCCUGUGAGUAGACAAAGGAAAUAAACAGUGAAUGCAUAGUGUAUCCUAAGUGUUAUAUCAGAAGUUUUUAUCCCUCUUUCCCAUUCUCCCUUUUAAUACCUUCCACUGUCUCGGUGCAAUGGAGGCUAACCCAGCUGAGUAUGGGAGGAUCAUAGAUGAUGAAAGCAAUCUUCUUUUUGUAACCUUUCACUAGGCUGAAUUUGAAGGAUAUCUUUGAAAAGUGUUGGAGAGUCUACCAUUUUUUUUUUUUUUUUUUUUUUUUUUUUGUCUUUUUGCCAUUUCUUGGGCCGCUCCCGCGGCAUAUGGAAGUUCCCAGGCUAGGGGUCUAAUCAGAGGUGAAGCCGCUGGGCCACAGCAACGCUGGAUCCGAGCCGCCUCUGCGACCUACACCACAGCUCACGGCAACGCCGGAUCGUUAACCCACUGAGCAAGGGCAGGGAUCGAACCCGCAACCUCAUGGUUCCUAGUCGGAUUCGUUAACCACUGCACCACGACCGGAACUCCUGAGAGUCUACCAGAUUUUCCACGUGAGUGCACAUGCAACAGCAGAAGAGGUCCUCUCAAUGAUUAAGGUAGCACAGUGAUUAAGGUAAGUAGAGGAGAAAAGGUUGACAUUGCCUUGACUGCUGUUAGGGAAGCUCCUAGAAAUGUCAUUUCCAGGGGCCAGUACAUUUUUUUUUUUUUAAUAGGGCUGCAUGUGUGGCAUAUAGAGGUUCCCAGGCUAGGGGUCGAAUUGGAGCUACAGCUGCCAGCCUACACCACAGCCACAGCACCUUGUGAUCCGAGCUGCCUCUGUGACCUAUACCACAGCUCAGGGCAAUGCUGGAUCCUUAACCCACUGAGCGAGGCCAGAGAUCAAACCUGCAUCCUCAUGUAUACUAGUCGAUUUCGUUUCUCCUGUGCCACAAUGGGAACUCCCCCUAGGGGCCAGUACUUUUAAAGCCUGCAUUUUAUUCUACAGUACAUCCUUCUCAAAACAAUUGGGAUAGAUGAUGUGCCUGCUUACCCAUCUGAGCUCACCCCUAUAGAGGAUCAGAAGAACUGAACUGGUUCCCAAGUAGACUACAUGGCAUAAGCUGCAUGUCAUAAAUAAUGUCAAUGUGACACUAAUUAUAAUCCCUUUAGGGGAGAGUCUAGUCUUUCAAACCAAACUUGUUUAGAGUUUUUCUUAAUCAGACUGUAGAGCUGCAUACAUCUUAUCUAAAGCUAGCUACGAGCAGAGGUACAUUGUUUCAGCAGCAGCCAAGUAUAUGGCACUUUGAAUUAGUGAUUUCAGAGGCAGCAGGGUCUUCUGAUGCACAACUCUCAAACCAACUGGACUAGAAUUCAUUUUUGACUCCUCAGUGAUCAGUCCCCUAAUAGGCUUCAAGGAGUACUGAAAUGGUUCAUAGUUAAACUAGGCAGCAUCUGUAAAAUGGUCAUUCUUGAGCAAUCUCUGCAGAAUCCAUCCCUAUCUUAAGCUAGUAGCUCCUUCACCCAGAGUUAAUACCCAAGGGCCAGAUCUUUCUUUGGGAUCUGCCAUUUUUCAUGGAAUCGAUAAAACUCACCUUUUCUCAUAAGGAUGGUCUUGAGAUGGUACCUUCAUAAUACAAUGUUCUUGGUAUAGUGUCUGGAGUGUUUGGAUAAUCUCUACUGGCAAAAUUAGGUAGAUUAGGCUGCACGGGAACCUGAAUGACAAAAAAGUGGCCUUUUCCCUGUGGGAAGUCUGGAAUAGUCAUUGAUACAAAGAGAAUCUAUUCUGUGUGCUUCACAGAAAAAGACACAGGAAAAAUUUUUAACUGCAUGCUAACAUUCAUAUCCCUAUGUGUGAACAGUGUCAUUUUAAAAAGGACACAGAAUAGAUUAGGAGGAAUUAAUCCUUCUCUUGAUAAUCUCAAAAUGUGAUCUGGACAAAGUAACAGGGAUCUCAGUCAAGUAAGUGUUGAACGUGGAGGUAAAUGUUUUUUUUUUUUUACCUUUUUGUUGUAUUUGUUAUAUUUAAUUGUUUUUUAUAAUGAACCUACCUUGUAUUCCCAGAAGAAAAUUCCCUACUUGUCAAGAAUAUUGAAUAAGAUCUAGUAAAUUUGCUGUUUUAAUAUUUUAUUUUCUGUUUUAUUUGAUUUUGUACUACUUUGUUUCUAUGUUCAAAAGUGAGUUUUUGGUUGGAGUGGCAGUCUUUGUUGACAUUAGGGUCAUUAUGAAACCUUAUUGCCUGAGCUUUUACAUUUAGCAGAUCUCAAACAUGUCUCAUACCAUCUUAAACAUCUGUUUUUAUUUGACAUUAUAAUGUAAAAAAAAAUUUACUGAUAUUUGUAUCUAAUAUGUAUCAAUAAUUUGUUCAGUUAUUGCCCUUUUAAGUUUGUGUAACUAAUAUUUAAUGUGAACAUUCCUAUAAAUAAGUUUUUGCAGCAUAUCCACUUUUGCUUCCUAAGGUUAGGUUAAGUGUACAAUCCCUCUAGUGUAUGAGAAUGCCUUCUUUUUCACGUCCUCACUAACGAUAUUGUGGUUUAAAAAAAAUCUGCCAAUUGCAAAGGUGAAAAGUGGUCUCCCUUGAUGUUUUAGUUUUUAUUUACUUGAUUCCUAAUGAGAUGGAACAGUUAAAAAUCUUUCUUGGGUCUUAUUUUUGAGUUUCUUUUUUACACUGAUUUUUAAUCUACCAUAUAUGUUGCAGUCCCUCAAUUUGACAUAGAAGUGGUUAAUUUUUAUGUAGUUCACAUAUCUUUCUUUGUGGUUUAUUCUCCCCUUACGUCUCACAGUAAAGAUAAAUGUUUUUGUAUAGUUCAUGCUUUGAUUAUUUACUUUUAAAUACAAAUCUUUUGCUAUUGGGGAUAUUCUCUUUGGUGUGUGGUAUAUAACUAAUUUUUUAAAUGUCCAGCACAUUCAGAGUUCAUGGGGGUGAUAGUAAGGGUACUAGUGGGGAUCUCAGCAGGAGUUUCAGAAUCUUUUUGUCCAGUGCUCUGCUAUUAUAACAUGUCAUAUUUAAAUAAUUCUCUCUGCCCCUUUUUCUCUGUAUGACUUCUCAGUUUUGCUACCACUGACCUAUGCUGCCCUCUGUGACAGGUUGGCAAACUUUUUCUGUAAAGGGCCUGAUAGUAAAUAUUUUAGGCUUUCUGGACCAUGUGUUUUUUACCUCUGUAAUAUGAAAGCAGCCACAGACAAUACAUAAGCAGACAAACAUGACCGUAUUCCAACAAAACUACGUUUAUUAAAAAAAAAAAAAAAAAAAAAAAAAAGGAGUUCCCGUCGUGGCUCAGUGAAUCUGACUAGGAACCAUGAGGUUGUGUGUUCGAUCCCUGGCCUUGCUCAGUGGCCAAGGAUCCGGUGUUGCCGUGAUCUGUGGUGUAGGUCACAGACUCAGCUUGGGUCCCGCGUUGCUGUGGCUGUGGUGUAGGCCAGCGGCUACAGCUCUGAUUCGACCCCUAGCCUGGGAACCUCUAUAUGCCGUGGGAACGGCCCUAGAAAAGGCAAACAGACAAAAAAAAAAAAAAAAAAAAAAAAAAAA